CUCUGGCAGCUUGGCUCAAGAGAGAUGCUAUGCUGACCCUUGCAUGUGGAUGAUUUUAAUCACCAGCCUAUUUGUGGCUGGGCAUGAGUGGAAGCAAUAACAUGAUGGAAGGAGUGAAAAGAAAUAUGGAUAAGAUGGAUUAUAGGUCUCACUAGAACUGAAAUCAGAGAGAAGGUAAAGUGAGAUACCAAAACCAGAUACUGGAAAUGGGAAAAGAGCUACAGCCAACAAUAAUGGAAAUCAUGUAUUUAAAAUAGAACUCCACACAAUGAAGACUGCUCUUUCAGCAAAGGGUUCUCCAUCCUACCUCUUCAUUUUGUUUCUAUAUUGUUUGAAUAUUUAAUAAGAGGAGAUGCAUUACUUUUGUAAUAAAAAGACUUUUGCAAUGGUUCAAAAUGGCUAGUGUUUUGUCAGCUCGACCAGCAUGGCUCAGUGGUUGAGCAUCAACCUGUGAACCAGGAAGUCAUGGUUUCGAUUCCUGGUCAGGGCAUAUGCCUGGGUUGUGGGCUCAAUCCCCAGUGGGGAGCAUACAGGGGGCAGAACCAAAUCCUCUUGCCUUUCCUUUUACAGUCCUAAGCCAAGACUAGGUCAAUUAGGUUUCCAGAAGACCCAAACCAGGUCCUAAAAGU